rnacentral:rRNA from 1 species
AGUGAACGCUGGCGGUAGGCCUAACACAUGCAAGUCGAACGGCAGCACAGUAAGAGCUUGCUCUUACGGGUGGCGAGUGGCGGACGGGUGCGGAAUACAUCGGAAUCUACUUUUUCGUGGGGGCUAACGUAGGGAAAUUUACGCUAAUACCGCAUACGACCUCUGUGUGUAAGCAGGGGAUCUUCUGACCUUGCGCGAUUGUAUGAGCCUAUCUCGGAUUCGCUAGUUGGCGGGGUAAAGGCCCAACACGGCGACGCUCCGUAGCUGGUCUGAGAGGAAGAUCACACACACUGGAACAGAGAAACGGUCCAGACACCUAGGGGAGGAAGCAGUGGAGAAUAUUGGACGAGGGGGGAAAGGCGGAUAUAGGAAUACCGCGUGAGUGAAGAAGGCCUUAGGGUUGUAAAGCCAUUAUGUUGGGAAAGAAAAGAAGCAGGUUAACACCCGGCUGUACUGACGGUACCCAAAGAAUAAGCACCGGCUAACUUCGUG